AUUGAACGCUGGCGGCAUGCUUUACACAUGCAAGUCGAACGGUAACAGGUUAAGCUGACGAGUGGCGAACGGGUUAGUAAUGCAUCGGAACGUGCCCGAUCGUGGGGGAUAACGCAGCGAAAGCUGCGCUAAUACCGCGUACGAUCUGAGGAUGAAAGCGGGGGACCGUAAGGCCUCGCGCGAUCGGAGCGGCCGAUGCCAGAUUAGGUAGUUGGUGGGGUAAAGGCCCACCAAGCCGACGAUCUGUAGCUGGUCUGAGAGGACGACCAGCCACACUGGGACUGAGACACGGCCCAGACUCCUACGGGAGGCAGCAGUGGGGAAUUUUGGACAAUGGGCGAAAGCCUGAUCCAGCAAUGCCGCGUGCAGGAGGAAGGCCUUCGGGUUGUAAACUGCUUUUGUACGGAGCGAAAAGGUCCUUUCUAAUACAAGGGGCUCAUGACGGUACCGUAAGAAUAAGCACCGGCUAACUACGUGCCAGCCGCCGCCGUAAAAC
rnacentral:rRNA from 1 species